GAUGAACGCUGGCGGCGUGCUUAACACAUGCAAGUCGAACGAAGCACUUUAUUUGAUUUCCUUCGGGACUGAUUAUUUUGUGACUGAGUGGCGGACGGGUGAGUAACGCGUGGGUAACCUGCCUUGUACAGGGGGAUAACAGUUGGAAACGGCUGCUAAUACCGCAUAAGCGCCCAGCAUCGCAUGAUGCAGUGUGAAAAACUCCGGUGGUAUAAGAUGGACCCGCGUUGGAUUAGCUAGUUGGUGAGGUAACGGCCCACCAAGGCGACGAUCCAUAGCCGACCUGAGAGGGUGACCGGCCACAUUGGGACUGAGACACGGCCCAAACUCCUACGGGAGGCAGCAGUGGGGAAUAGUGCACAAUGGGCGAAAGCCUGAUGCAGCGACGCCGCGUGAGCGAAGAAGUAUUUCGGUAUGUAAAGCUCUAUCAGCAGGGAAGAUAAUGACGGUACCUGACUAAGAAGCACCGGCUAAAUACGUG
rnacentral:rRNA from 1 species